rnacentral:rRNA from 1 species
AACGCGAAGAACCUUACCUGGGCUCGAAGCGCAGUGGACCGGGGUAGAAAUAUCCCUUUCCGCAAGGACUGCUGCGGAGGUGCUGCAUGGCUGUCGUCAGCUCGUGUCGUGAGAUGUUGGGUUAAGUCCCGCAACGAGCGCAACCCUUAUCCCUAGUUGCCAUCGGGUCAAGCCGGGCACUCUAGUGAAACCGCCCCGGAUAACGGGGAGGAAGGUGGGGAUGACGUCAAGUCCUCAUGGCCUUUAUGUCCAGGGCUACACACGUGCUACAAUGGCCGGUACAAACCGCUGCAACCCCGCGAGGGUGAGCUAAUCGGAAAAAGCCGGCCUCAGUUCGGAUUGGAGUCUGCAACUCGACUCCAUGAAGCUGGAAUCGCUAGUAAUCGUGGAUCAGCAUGCCACGGUGAAUACGUUCCCGGGCCUUGUACACACCGACUGUAC